rnacentral:rRNA from 1 species
CUACGGGUUGCUGCAGUGGGGAAUUUUGCGCAAUGGGCGAAAGCCUGACGCAGCAACGCCGUGUAAGCGAUGAAGGCCUUCGGGUUGUAAAGCUCUGUCAGGUGGGAAGAAGAACAUGACGGUACCACCAGAGGAAGCCCCGGCUAACUCCGUGCCAGCAGCCGCGGUAACACGGAGGGGGCGAGCGUUGUUCGGAAUCAUUGGGCGUAAAGCGUAUGUAGGUGGUUGGACAAGUCAGACGUGUAAGCCUACGGCUCAACCGUGGAAUUGCGUUUGAAACUAUCCAACUUGAGUGCAGAAGAGGAAAGCGGAAUUUCCAGUGUAGCGGUGAAAUGCGUUGAUAUUGGGAAGAACACCUGUGGCGAAGGCGGCUUUCUGGUCUGCUACUGACACUGAGAUACGAAAGCCAGGGGAGCAAACGGGAUUAGAUACCCUUGUAGUC